CAAUUCAUUUUUCAUCCAAAAAUCAUGAUUCUUUUUCCAUGAUGUUCACAAUUGAGUCUAGUAUUUAAAUGUGAAUUUUAAUUAUUUUUCCAUUGGUUGGUUUUUAAUUGACAAUUAUUUUCUCCACAUGUGUGCAUGAAUGAUACCCUUGGCCAUUUCAAUUGUGAAAUACUCAUGUUAUAUCCAAUGCCUUUGAGAUUUUUUGUGGUGAAAAUAGACUCCUUGACC
rnacentral:lncRNA from 1 species